UGAUUAAUCAGAGGGAACAUUGAGGCAUUGAGGCAAUAUCGACUACUGCGCUUACUUUUUUCGCUGAGCUGUCAGCUGUGUUAGUCUUUUUUUUAUUAUUAUUAUUUUUUUUUUGCUGAAAUCUUGAAAGUCGUAUCUCGAAUCUGAAUUCUGAUUAUCAUAAUAUUUCACAAAUCUGAAGUAUUUUGGUUUCGCAACGUCAUACAAAUAAUUGAUCGCAUGUUCCAUCUCCAUCAUUCGUCAUUUCGUCUGCUGUGGCGUGGUUUGGUCUGAUCUGGUCUGUUAGCUUAUGGUUUCUUACAACAACAUUGGGAAGACUGAGUGAUUUACGCUGAGUUGAUAGUACUCAAUUAAUCAUUUAAAAAAUAAACAUUUGUGUGUAGGUAAUGUAGCAAGAAAGUAAAAAGUGAUAAAAUUGCAGUUUGAAUAAUAUGGUUCAGACAUGGACACAUGAAGAUCCUAAAGUUUAAAUUUAACUAGAAAGAGCUUGUGGGAUACAGGCUAAAGAUGAAAUACAAGAUUGGUGUUGACGUCCAAAGCAAUCAGCAGUAUAUAAUGUGAUUCAAAAGAACUGAUCGUAACAUCAUCCAAACCAACCAAAGUUUUAACUAGACAGCUUUAGACAAGUUCGUCUUCAUUGAAAGUCAAAUCAAGCUUCCACAAAUUGGAAAUUGCAGCUCAUAAACAUUGUGUUGACUCCACCCAAGUUGUAAAACCAGAAAACAGAAUCUCUCAUUCUCAUGCAGUGGCAAUAGUUGAAGAAAAGUUCUCCGAAGAUCUAAAUGACACAGAACUUUACACUUGUAAUUUCAAGUAUCUGUUGGACUUCGGUAACCAAGUUUGAAAAGGAUUGCAAUAGGUUUGAAUAAAGAAAAUUCAAAACGUUUGAGAAAGAGUUGGAACACGAAAAAUCCAAUGGGUCAUUACUGGAGUAGAGAUCUCAUUCAUUGGUGCCUACCGUGACUUAUUGGUCUAGCUCCACGGCGGUAAAAGAAAAUGCUGCUGAUGUAAGACGUUGAUAAUGUUGCACUCAUCCCCUGACGGCAGAAGAACAAGAGAUCCAGGUCCUCUAUUUAAUGGCAUCACGCAUCACCCCAUUGGUUUCACGUGACACGAGUCGACACAAAUUGCUGGAUUAGAUUGACGACUCGUUUUUUAAUUUAAAAAAAAUGGACGACUAUGCAAGCGGACCUCAGGCGAGAGAUUUUGAAAAAGGAAUCCCGACUGCUAAUCCAGACGAAUCUUGAUUUCAAAUUUGAUAACAUUGCUGGACCGUCAUAAGCCUUCCAUUAAUCCCUGCUGAAAGAUGAAACUUUUUUCUGGACCUACGUUAGAAGAAUCUUUGCAGAUCGAUUGCUCCUCGCCCUUCUCUAGAAUUCGCCCGAAAAAAACUGGCCGACUUUGACGAGUCUUUAUACGCUCACGUGUUCACCCAAGAAGUGGAUCGUUUAAUCUGUCAUCGCGUGAUCGGCAGGCAGUGCUAUUGCAGAAGAUAUUGCACGUGAUGUGAUCCCCGAAUUUGUUUUCAAAGAUGACGUGGAAUCGGGUAAUUCUCUGGUGGUUCCUGAGCGAAAAUCGGACGUUUGGCAGCCAUCGUCGCUUCCACCCUAAUUACAAGAACUCAUCCUUUUCGAUUUUCUUGAACUACAGGAGAAAAACUGAAGUUUGUCCGAUCCACUUAUCAUAAGCAAAGUGCGAAAUCAUUCACACUCACAUUUCCUAAUCUGAAAUUAGAAACAAAACAAAACAUUAAUCAGGUUAGUAACUUAGUACUGCAACUACCCUUUGUACUUACUUUUACCAUCGAAUUUUAACGCCACUCUCAUAUGAGCCAAUGAUAAAACCCAUAGGCAAUAGGAAGAUGCGGAGUGAAGGGCUUUCUUUCCCGUUCGGAGCAGAAUAUUUUUUGAUAAACUUCCCCUGUAUAAGAUUUGAACUUGCCCCGUUGGCAUGUGGUGGUUAUCAAUGCCACUGCUCAGUGAUCUUACAAACGAAUGCACAUUACAUGUUUGACACAUGCAUACGCUCUGUCACUGUGCCAUCAAGUCCCACCAAGUCUCACACGCAAAGGCGUAUGUAUAGGAAUACGGAAUCAUUCCAUUGCUGCUCAGCUACAGAGAGAAUAAUACCGUUUUUUUUACUAUCCUAGUUUAUCUAUCUUCAUUCCGAUUCCCUCACUACGCUUCUA
rnacentral:lncRNA from 1 species